UCAGAGAAGUUGUGAGCUGCCAAUGUGAGUGCUGGGAAUUGAACUCAAGACCUUCAAAAGAACAGUGAGUUCUUUUAGCCACUUAGCAAUCUCUCCAGCCCCGACUGAGCAACUCUUUAAUUUAUCCACGGGUCUUAGGUUUAUGGGUCUCAUGAAGACUUGAUACUGAAAUCAGAGGCAACUACAAGGUGUCAUUCUGUCCUUGGAGUCCUGAUUGAGUCCUGUGGUUUCUGUGUCUCUACCUCUCAAAUCCCAGGGCGUUAACUGCUUAGGAUUUCACUUUCGUCCUUCUAUUCCUUCCUAACGUAGGCAUGCCCACCGUCGACCUUCCAAAGUAACAUUCCUUAGACGCAGGGUCGUCAGCGAGCAUUGUUACUGGAAGAAUGCUCUCUGGAGAAUGGGGGAGGGAAGCAGGAAAGCUCGGUGUUAAGCAGGGCAUAAUCUCUUCAAGGACCUGCUUCAGUUGCGAUCCGACUCAGCAUGCACGGGCUGCAGAUGAAUUGUGCUUUUCUGCUCCUUCAUCUGGCAUUAUUCCCUCUACGGAGUCAUCAGUCUUUAUUAAAAGGCA